rnacentral:rRNA from 1 species
GAUGAACGCUGGCGGCGUGCCUAAUACAUGCAAGUCGAGCGAACAGACGAGGAGCUUGCUUCUCUGACGUUAGCGGCGGACGGGUGAGUAACACGUGGAUAACCUACCUAUAAGACUGGGAUAACUUCGGGAAACCGGAGCUAAUACCGGAUAAUAUAUUGAACCGCAUGGUUCAAUAGUGAAAGACGGUUUUGCUGUCACUUAUAGAUGGAUCCGCGCCGCAUUAGCUAGUUGGUAAGGUAACGGCUUACCAAGGCAACGAUGCGUAGCCGACCUGAGAGGGUGAGCGGCCACACUGGAACUGAGACACGGUCCAGACUCCUACGGGAGGCAGCAGUAGGGAAUCUUCCGCAAUGGGCGAAAGCCUGACGGAGCAACGCCGCGUGAGUGAUAAAGGUCUUCGGAUCGUAAAACUUUUUUAUUAGGGAAAAAAAAAUGUGUAAGAAACUAUGCACGUCUUGACGGUCCCUAAUCAGAAAGCCACGGCAAACUCCGUG